rnacentral:rRNA from 1 species
AGCGAACGCUGGCGGCAGGCCUAACACAUGCAAGUCGAGCGCCGUAGCAAUACGGAGCGGCAGACGGGAGAGUAACACGUGGGAACGUACCCUUUGGUUCGGAACAACCCAGGGAAACUUGGGCUAAUACCGGAUAAGCCCUCACGGGGAAAGAUUCAUCGCCGAAGGAUCGGCCCGCGUCUGAUUAGCUAGUUGGUGGGGUAAUGGCCCACCAAGGCGACGAUCAGUAGCUGGUCUGAGAGGAUGAUCAGCCUCCCUGGGACUGGGACACGGCCCAGACUCCUACGGGAGGCAGCAGUGGGGAAUAUUGGACAAUGGGCGCAAGCCUGAUCCAGCCAUGCCGCGUGGGUGAUGAAGGCCCUAGGGUUGUAAAGCCCUUUCGGCGGGGAAGAUAAUGACGGUACCCGCAGAAGAAGCCCCGGCUAACUUCGUGCCAGCCGCCGCAGUAACAC